CACUAGCGGGUUUGUUUUGAAGCAGUGUGAGAGUCCCAAAUAGGAAACAGGAAACAUCACUGCCUCUAUUGCUGCCACAAGAAAGUUUUAAAACACCACAAACAAACACAAGCUCCAAACUGCCUAGGAGUUUGGGGAACAGCUGACUGUUUCCCCAGUCCCUCCCAGUCCCGCUGAAUGUUUCUGCU